GAAUCCUGCAUGUCCGAAAGAAAGACCAAUCAAAGAAGUGAGGAAGCCAAAGAGAGGCCUAUGAAAGCUUAUGACGCAUUUUCCAAGUGCACACCCCAGCAACUUCAAAUGCUUUCUGAAACUCUCCCCAGGAAAAAGCAGUGUGCAUGGACCGCUACCUGGUCACACCUUGAGAUAGCCACUUUCAUCCUCUCUGGAACACCGCCUGGGGGGAUGCAGCACAGGGCAUCCAAGCAACCCCUGAGCUCAGGGUAGAGACACCAGGAAGCAGCAGGCAGGCCGUGACCCCGCAGGCCUGCUCCAUGGCUCCUGCUGCCUGCACCAUGGCAUGAAGCUCAGAUGCAUCUCUGGACUUGGGGUUCUGACCAGAUGGAGCCACCAAUCCUCUGAAGAAUGAAACACACAGGGGUCACCCUUGCCUCCUAGCUGCAGGGAAUGACGACCACCCAGCCCUUCCUUUCCUCAAAUCUUCUCCAGGCUUCUGUGCAUGGCUCUGCUGACCUUCCUCCUGUCUCUGGCUAUUCUCUCAGCCUCUGCCGUCUCCUCCUCCGCCCUCACCCACGGAGUCAGUCCUGGUGCCUUGAGAGCCCCUCUCCCUAGCUGACUUCACCCAGCCCCUGAGCAUUCAAUGCCAACAAUGCCACCUUCUUUGUCCAGAUUCACACUUGAGUGCCAGCCUGACUCACAGACGUGUCCCUGGGCCCCGCUGUGCCAGGCCCUCUGCUGGGUCCUGGGUAUCUGCAGCCACUGUCACUGUCAAGCCCCAACAUCUGAAGGCAUCUUGAACCCAAUGACCGUGCCCCAGGCUGAACUCUGGAGCUCUCAUCUCACCUGCCUCCCACCCCAUCCCCCAUCUAAGUGAACAGCCUCUCCAGCCAACAGCUAUUGCAGCUAGAUCUCCAGGGGCCGGGCCUGGGCCCUCCAUUUCCAUUACUCCGAAUCCACUCAUCCAUCCCAAACUCUCAUCAAUGUUAACCCAACACAUCUCACAGCCACCACCAUUAGCUGCCCCUGUCCGAAUCCCUCCUCCUCAAAGCACCAGGGGGCGUGUGUAAAAUUUACUAAUCUGAUGAUUUCCCUCUAUGAAGCCGUGACUGGUUUCCAUUGCACCUGGGAUAUACCAGAUUCCUGUGGCUCCAGAAUCCUGCCUACCACCGACGUGCUGUGUGACCCUGAGCAAGUAACUUAACCACUCUGUGCCUCAAUGUUCUUACAUGUGAAAUGGGAUAAUAACAUCUGUCUCAUAAGAA
rnacentral:lncRNA from 1 species